CCGGAAGAAGCCUGCAAAUCUGGGGGCGGAUCUCAGCAAGCCGGCCAACAAAUCGGGGCAGGCGGCCUCGUGGGCGGCCGACUUGCGGAGACUCGGAGCGUUGGACGGCGCGCCUCUUCUGCGAUGGGUACCACCUUCUGUUGGCUGGGACGCCGAUCUCACAUUCUGUGCUGGAGACAAAAAGACGUGGCGAAGGCUUGGAGGUUAAUCUCCUGGAGCAGAGAAUGGAGGCAGCCAAGGAAGAUGCUGUUGAACCAGUUAGGAGGCUGUUGCAGCUAUCCCAGCAAGAUUUGAUGAUAAUGUGGACUUGAGAGGUGGCAGAGCAGUUGCCCAAAGCUGGAUGACUUUCAGAGCGCUGUUCUUGGAUUGAAGUGAGCGAAAGUAGUGCAGGACAAGCAUGACAUGGAAGGGAGAGAGAGUCUCAGCUGGGAGAGAAACAGCAGCAACUCCAAAUCGAUUGACAUGAGCGUCUUCACAGUCUGCUUGAGUGUCCUUAUUUCAGAGUGGCUGGCUUCCCCCAGAUUACUCUGUCCCUGAGGCUGUGUUUGAGAGUUACUAAACAUAACUCCUAGAGAAGUUUGGAGAUGGGAAGGGGAAGACUAUUCCAUAUGGCAACACUUCAUGGAGAGAAGGUACAUAAUCUUUCCAAGGCAGGUAAUCAAGAUAAAUUCCCUGAGUCUGUCUAUACCCUGAUGGUUUCAUGACAAGGGCCAGGUAGGUAAAGGGAAAUAUUCUCAUGGGGAAGUGGGAAAUGAUGCCUUGGCCUUGUUUUAGCUGGUUGUUGUCCCAUCAUUCUCUAAUUAUGCAUCACUGUGUAAUAAACAUCUAUUGGUUUGACUUUCCAAUAUCUCUUUUCCUCUAUUCUGGCUGCUUAUUUGGAGGGAACCACAUCUUGUAUCUUUCAAUGCAACUUCAGAGGGAGUUGACCCUGGCCUCAAGCUCUAGGAUUGAGCAUGUGACAUAAUCCUGGUAAGGAGAGCCUGAAUUCCCCUGGCUAGGUGGAUCAAUGGAAGAGGAUGAUCCAACAGGACCGAUCAUGGCUGAUCCCAAAGCUUUUUCUGAAGUGUUUGGAAGCCCCACCUGAGAAUGAAGCCAAUACAGAAGAUAAAAGAUUCCUGAAAAUACUGUUUGAACACUUGGAUCUAGCCAUGUCUGAAGCUAAUUUAUCCCUGAACUUUUCAGUCCCAUAAGCAAAUAAAUUCCCUUUGUAAACUUUUGUCAUUGUGAGUUAAAGUUAGGUUAGAGUUAGAGGUAGGUUUGAGUUAGAGUUAGGUUUCUAUUAGAGUAACCGAGAGUCCUGAAUAAUACAGCAAAUAUGUCAGUGAGACUAACAUGGGUUCCAACUUUGCCUCUGCCACUUACUAGC
rnacentral:lncRNA from 1 species